rnacentral:rRNA from 1 species
UCCGGUGUUUCUAGCGACGAGGGUACACCUGAUCCCAUCCCGAACUCAGCCGUUAAGCUCGUCAGCGCCGAUGGUAGCCUGUUAGGCAAGAGUAGGUCAGCGCCGGAA